rfam:Capsicum annuum cultivar Zunla-1 chromosome 11, whole genome shotgun sequence
UGAUGAUGGUAAGGACAAUUUCUAAGCAUACUCUUAAAUCUCUGCUAAGCUUGGUAGAGAUUCUCUUCUUUAUUUUUUUUGAAACUCAGAAUCUUGCUUCUCAAACG